rnacentral:tRNA from 4 species
GCUCACAUAGCUCAGUCGGUAGAGCACUUCCUUGGUAAGGAAGAGGUCACAGGUUCGAUUCCUGUUGUGAGCACCA